rnacentral:rRNA from 1 species
CUGCUGCCUUCCGUAGGAGUCUGGUCCGUGUCUCAGUACCAGUGUGGGGGACCUUCCUCUCAGAACCCCUAGACAUCGUCGCCUUGGUGGGCCGUUACCCCGCCAACUAGCUAAUGUCACGCAUGCCCAUCCGUCUCCGGAGUCGCCUCCUUUGGCCGAAAGAAGAUGCCUCCCCUCGGCCACAUGCGGUAUUAGGCCGGAUUUCUCCGGGUUAUCCCGCUGAAACGGGCAGGUUGCAUACGCAUUACUCACCCGUGCGCCGGUCG